rnacentral:rRNA from 1 species
UAGUACGGCGAGUGAAGAGGGAAGAGCCCAAGAUUGAAAGCUGGCGCCUUCGGCGUCCGCAUUGUAAUCUCAAGAAGUGUUUUCCGCUUCGGACCAUGCCUAAGUCCCUUGGAAAAGGGCAUCAUAGAGGGUGAUAAUCCCGUACAUGGCAUGGAGCGCCCGAAGCUUUGUGAUACGCUUUCUAAGAGUCGAGUUGUUUGGGAAUGCAGCUCAAAAUGGGUGGUAAAUGCCAUCUAAGGCUAAAUAUUGGGGAGAGACCGAUAGCGAACAAGUACAGUGAUGGAAAGAUGAAAAGAACUUUGAAAAGAGAGUUAAACAGUACGUGAAAUUGCCAAAAGGGAAGGGUAGGAGGUCAGAGAUGCGUCGCAGGAUUCAGCCUUGCUUUUGCUUGGUGUUUUUCCUGCGUUGCAGGCCAACGUCGGUUUUGGGCACUGGAGAAGGGUAGGAGGAACGUGGCACCUCUCGGGGUGUGUUAUAGCCUCCUACUGGAUACAGCGACCGAGACCGAGGAACGCAGCGUACUCGUAAGAGCGGGCCUUUUGGCACCUUUACGCUUAGGGCGUUGGCAUAAUGGCCCUCUACCACCCGUCUUGA